rnacentral:rRNA from 1 species
CUACGGUGAAUACGUUCCCGGACCUUGUACACACCGCCCGUCAAGCCAUGGAAGCUGGGUGUACCUAAAGUCGAUAACCGUAAGGAGUCGCCUAGGGUAAAACUAGUAACUGGGGGCU